GAUGAACGCUGGCUACAGGCUUAACACAUGCAAGUCGAGGGGAAACGACGGGGAAGCUUGCUUCCCCGGGCGUCGACCGGCGCACGGGUGAGUAACGCGUAUCCAACCUGCCUCUGACUGAGGGAUAACCCGUCGAAAGUCGGCCUAAUACCUCAUGGCAUCGUCUGCGGGCAUCCAACGACGAUUAAAGAUUUCAUCGGUCAGGGAUGGGGAUGCGUCUGAUUAGCUUGUUGGCGGGGUAACGGCCCACCAAGGCUACGAUUAGUAGGGGUUCUGAGAGGAAGGUCCCCCACAUUGGAACUGAGACACGGUCCAAACUCCUACGGGAGGCAGCAGUGAGGAAUAUUGGUCAAUGGGCGGGAGCCUGAACCAGCCAAGUAGCGUGCAGGAUGACGGCCCUAUGGGUUGUAAACUGCUUUUAUGCGGGGAUAAAGUGAGGGACGUGUCCUUCAUUGCAGGUACCGCAUGAAUAAGGACCGGCUAAUUCCGUG
rnacentral:rRNA from 1 species